rnacentral:rRNA from 1 species
CCUACGGGCGGCAGCAGUGGGGAAUAUUGCACAAUGGGGGGAACCCUGAUGCAGCGACGCCGCGUGAGUGAAGAAGUAUUUCGGUAUGUAAAGCUCUAUCAGCAGGAACGAGACAAGACGGUACCUGACUAAGAAGCCCCGGCUAACUACGUGCCAGCAGCCGCGGUAAGACGUAGGGGGCAAGCGUUAUCCGGAAUCACUGGGUGUAAAGGGAGCGUAGACGGCUGAGCAAGCCUGAAGUGAAAGGCGGGGGCCCACCCCCCGGACUGUGUGGGGGACUGUACGGCUGGAGUGCAGGAGAGGUAAGUGGAAUUCCUGGUGUAGCGGGGAAAUGCGUAGAUAUUAGGAGGAACACCAGUGGCGAAGGCGGCUUACUGGACUGUAACUGACGUUGAGGCUCGAAAGCGUGGGGAGCAAACAGGAUUAGAUACCCGAGUAGUC